AUGGCCUCCUCCUUCCUCUCCCUACGGCUCCCUACCCCCUCCCCGCCCACCGCGACGUCGUCCCCGUUCUUCCCGAAUCCCCUAGUCCGGUCCGGAAGGUGCAGUCCGCUGUCCUCUACCCUCGUGGCGCGUGUUGCCGGGCCGGCGGCGGGGGCUCCGUCGCCGUUGUUCAACCCGAGGGGCGACCCGUUCCUAUCCACGCUAGCAGCUGCUUCUCCAGAGCAGCUCGCGGCAGCUGCGGGUGGCGAACGCCGCGGCGAGGACCACCUGCCGUUCCUCGAGAUCUUCCAGAACGCCAAGCUCAUGUCCUCGCCCGCGCAGGUGGAACGUUCUAGCAGCUCUUACAGUCAGCACAGUCCUAGAAGGCCUCCCCCGGAUUUGCCGUCGUUGCUUCUACAUGGCCGGAUUGUUUAUAUUGGCAUGCCGUUGGUGCCAGCAGUUACCGAGCUUAUUGUUGCCCAGUUGAUGUACCUUGAUUGGAUGAAUAGUAGUGAGCCUGCAUAUAUAUACAUCAACUCAACAGGAACGGCUCGUGAUGAUGGUGAACCAGUUGGAAUGGAGACGGAAGGUUUUGCUAUCUAUGAUGCCAUGAUGCGGAUGAAAACUGAGGUUCACACACUUUGUAUAGGAGCUGCAGCAGGUCAUGCCUGCCUUGUCCUUGCAGCAGGGAAGAAAGGCAAACGAUAUAUGUUUCCCCAUGCCAAAGCUUUGAUUCAGCAACCUCGUAUUCCUUCAUAUGGGAUGAUGCAAGCUUCUGAUGUUGUUAUUCGUGCGAAAGAGGUAGUGCACAACAGGAAUACCCUGGUCAAACUUUUAGCAAGGCACACUGGAAAUCCACCGGAGAAAAUAGAUAAGGUGAUGAGAGGACCAUUUUAUAUGGACUCUUUGAAAGCCAAGGAGUUUGGGGUAAUUGACAAGAUCCUUUGGCGCGGUCAGGAGAAGUACAUGUCUGACAUGCUCUCCCCUGAGGAUUGGGACAAGGUUGCUGGAGUCAGAGGCCCCGGUGGAAUGUGA
rnacentral:rRNA from 1 species